rnacentral:rRNA from 1 species
UAGGGAAUCUUCCACAAUGGACGCAAGUCUGAUGGAGCAACGCCGCGUGAGUGAAGAAGGCUUUCGGGUCGUAAAACUCUGUUAUUGAAGAAGAACGUGUGUGACAGUAACUGGUCAUGCAGUGACGGUAUUCAAUCAGAAAGUCACGGCUAACUACGUGCCAGCAGCCGCGGUAAUACGUAGGUGGCAAGCGUUGUCCGGAUUUAUUGGGCGUAAAGCGAGUGCAGGCGGUCUUUUAAGUCUGAUGUGAAAGCCUUCGGCUUAACCGAAGAAGGGCAUCGGAAACUGGGAGACUUGAGUGCAGAAGAGGAGAGUGGA